rnacentral:rRNA from 1 species
AAAUUGAAGAGUUUGAUCAUGGCUCAGAUUGAACGCUGGCGGCAGGCCUAACACAUGCAAGUCGAACGGUAACAGGAAACAGCUUGCUGUUUCGCUGACGAGUGGCGGACGGGUGAGUAAUGUCUGGGAAACUGCCUGAUGGAGGGGGAUAACUACUGGAAACGGUAGCUAAUACCGCAUAAUGUCGCAAGACUAAAGAGGGGGACCUUCGGGCCUCUUGCCAUCGGAUGUGCCCAGAUGGGAUUAGCUAGUAGGUGGGGUAACGGCUCACCUAGGCGACGAUCCCUAGCUGGUCUGAGAGGAUGACCAGCCACACUGGAACUGAGACACGGUCCAGACUCCUACGGGAGGCAGCAGUGGGGAAUAUUGCACAAUGGGCGCAAGCCUGAUGCAGCCAUGCCGCGUGUAUGAAGAAGGCCUUCGGGUUGUAAAGUA